CAGUCGAACGGACGAUGAAGAGCUUGCUUUUCAGAGUUAGUGGCGGACGGCUGAGUAACGCGUGGGUAACCUGCCUCAUACAGGGGGAUAGCAGCUGGAAACGGCUGAUAAAACCGCAUAAGCGCACAGCAUCGCAUGAUGCAGUGUGAAAAACUCCGGUGGUAUGAGAUGGACCCGCGUCUGAUUAGCUGGUUGGUGAGGUAACGGCCCACCAAGGCGACGAUCAGUAGCCGGCCUGAGAGGGUGACCGGCCACAUUGGGACUGAGACACGGCCCAAACUCCUACGGGAGGCAGCAGUGGGGAAUAUUGCACAAUGGGGGAAACCCUGAUGCAGCGACGCCGCGUGAAGGAAGAAGUAUCUCGGUAUGUAAACUUCUAUCAGCAGGGAAGAUAAUGACGGUACCUGACUAAGAAGCCCCGGCUAACUACGUGCCAGCAGCCGCGGUAAUACGUAGGGGGCAAGCGUUAUCCGGAUUUACUGGGUGUAAAGGGAGCGUAGGCGGCGGAGCAAGUCAGAAGUGAAAGCCCGGGGCUCAACCCCGGGACGGCUUUUGAAACUGCCCUGCUUGAUUUCAGGAGAGGUAAGCGGAAUUCCUAGUGUAGCGGUGAAAUGCGUAGAUAUUAGGAGGAACACCAGUGGCGAAGGCGGCUUACUGGACUGACAAUGACGCUGAGGCUCGAAAGCGU
rnacentral:rRNA from 1 species